GUACCUGUUGGUAAGCGGCAGUGAUCGAGUGGGGCCUCGCGUUGCUCUAGAUUACCGGAAUGGCUCAUUAAAACAGUUAUAGUUUAUUUGGUACAUUAAAUGGAUAACUGUAGAAAAACUAAAGCUAAUACAUGCCAAAGCCUCACGGUUGUAUUUAUUAGAUAUUCCAAUUAGGUGAAUCAUAAUAACUUCGCAAAUCUCGGUUUUGCCGAGAUAAAUCAUCCAAGUUUCUGCCCUUUCAUGCUUUCGUUGGUAGUGUAUUGGACUACCAUGGCUCUCACGGGUAACAGGGAAUUAGUUUUUUGACCCCGGAUUUUGAGCCUGAGAAUCGUUUUUCUACAUCUACGGAAUGGAGCAGGCGCGUAAAUUACCCAAUCCUGACUCAGGGAGGUGGUGACAAGAUAUAAUGACGCUAUGAAAAAUAGUGAUUAUAGUGAGGGUAUUCCAAACCGAACCACAAGUACGAUUAGAGGGCAAGUCUGGUGCCAGCAGCCGCGGUAUUCCAGCUCUAAUAGCGUAUAUUAAAGUUGCUGCAGUUAAAAGCUCGUAGUUGGAUUUCAGGGACACGUAUUCCCCCGGAUAUGUGCCUACUAGCCCUUUCCGGCGGUUACGGUGAGAAAAUAAAGUGUUUAAGCAGCUUUUGCAGAAACAUUAACAGGGAUACCAAUGAUCUGACCUAGUUAUUCUUAACUCCUUAAAAAACGUGGGGCUGUUUAUGCAGGAUCUGGAUGUGAACAUGGGACUGCGAGGUUCUUAACAAAGGGGAGACAACGGACUCUAUCCAGUGAGAUCACCCA
rnacentral:rRNA from 1 species